rnacentral:rRNA from 1 species
UAUGAGCGCCUGCCGCAUGGUGGGUGUUGGAAAGUUUUUCGGUGGGGGAUGGGCUCGCGGCCUAUCAGCUUGUUGGUGGGGUAAUGGCCUACCAAGGCGUCGACGGGUAGCCGGCCUGAGAGGGCGACCGGCCACACUGGGACUGAGACACGGCCCAGACUCCUACGGGAGGCAGCAGUGGGGAAUAUUGCACAAUGGGCGAAAGCCUGAUGCAGCGACGCCACGUGAGGGAUGACGGCCUUCGGGUUGUAAACCUCUUUCAGCAGGGAAGAAGCGCAAGUGACGGUACCUGCAGAAGAAGCGCCGGCUAACUACGUGCCAGCAGCCGCGGUAAUACGUAGGGCGCAAGCGUUGUCCGGAAUUAUUGGGCGUAAAGAGCUCGUAGGCGGUCUGUCGCGUCUGGUGUGAAAUCUCAUGGCUCAACUGUGAGCUUGCAUCGGGUACGGGC